UCCUUGUAAGCAGAGAUGAAGAGUUCUCAGCUUUCUGCCUUCUCCAUGACUGGCUUACCACGGAGAAAGAAGUGAAGGGUAAGAGCCCACCCCAACUGUGAGAUGGAAGGCACCCAAGAGCCGUGAGACAGUGAGCGUUGUUGAUUCCAGGCUAUGCAGAUGCCAUGAAGCUGGGAGUGGAGCAGACGUCACCAUCAGUGAGAUAAGUGUCUGGUUUCGUGAGGACUCUUGUAACGGUCCACCUGCCUCCAGGCCAGGACUUGUCGUUAGCUGGGACUGAGUUUGUAGGAAAAGGUUCCUGAAUAGCUGUAGUUACGAGGGAGACAAGGUCCCCAUUUUCAGGGGCUGGUCAUUUCUCUGUCCACAAGCAGUGUGUUCUCUGCAGCAGAAGGUUGGAUCCAGGGGGAUGACUCCAGCUGGUGAGUUUCUUGACUUCCUCCCACGUUUUUCUCUCUGUCUCUCUCUCCUCUAAUGUGUUGGCCAACACACUCUGUCUGUCUGUCUCUGUCCUUGCCUCUCCUUGUCUGUCUCCUUUCGUAGGACAUGGGUAGGUGUGGUAGCUGUGCGUCCCCACAGGCUAGGUCUUGGGAGUGGUGAACAAGUAGGAGGGGAGCAAAAUCACACAGCGGUGACUGUGGGUGUUGACGGAGUCUCGGCUCUAGUGGGGCUGAUGUGGAUGGCGUGGAACAGGGAGGUAGGGAUGAGGGCAAGAUUUCAUGCACCGGUUGAAUUUUGUGUAGUGAUGGCUUUUUCUUGGGUUACGUCCUCCAUUUGCAGAAGAAUCAUCCAGGAGCAGCAGCCGGAGAAAUUGGCGGAAGUGGACCUGAGCCGCCUGGAAAUCCUUCUAAGCAGACAUGAACAGUCUUCAGCUUUCUGCCUCCCACGUAACUGCCUGGAAAAGAAGUCGCGUGUCACUGUCUACAGCCUUCAUGUCAUGGAAAGCGAGCGAGAGCGAUGGGACCUCAAGAACUACUGAUGCCAAGGAAAAGCUGUCCUAAUGGGAGUGGAACAGUCGCCACUCUCAAUGAGAUAAGUGUCUGUUUUGGUGAUUGCUCUGCUCCCGGCCCACCUUGCUCCUGGUAGGGACGCUCCAUUUGCUGGGGCUGUGUUUGUAAGAAAGUGUUUUUGACUAGCUGUGUUUAUGAGGGAGACAAGGUCCCCAUUUUCAGAGGCUGCUCAGUUCUCUGGCCAGUAGCAGUGUCUCCUCUGCAUCAGAAGGUGAGAUCCAGGGGAUGACUCCAGGUGACGAGUUGCUUCCCUUCCUCCCAUGUUUCUCUUUCUGUCUGUCUCUUCUCUAGUAUGUUGGCCAACACUCUUUCUCUCUCUCUCUCUGUCCUUGCCUCUCCUUAUCCCUUCUCCCUUCAUAGCACACGGGCAGGCGUGCUAGGUGUGCAUCCCCACAGGCUAGGUCUUGGGAGCUAUGAACAAGUAGGAGGGGAUGAAAAUCAUGCUGGACAGUGGGUGUGAGAGUGGAGCGGUGACUCAGUGUUUACUCGGUCUGUAUUCACUGAGUGGAUUUUACGCACCAAUAGAGCUGUAUGUAGUGAUGUCUCAUGCUUGGCUUUUGCAGCUGCGCUUCUAGAGGAAUCAUGGAGGAGCAGCAGCCGAAGGAGAAGCUGGCAGAUGUGGACCUGAGCAGCUUGGACGUUGUUCUAAGCAGAGAUUAACAGUCCUCAGCUUUCUGCCUUGCACAUAACUGGCUGGCCUGAGGCAGCUGUCCUGAUUGGCCGGAGCUUCCUCGCGCCGGCUACGAAGAGGAACCACCGGAGCUUCCCUGGGCCCGGUACUGGGAGGAGCCGCCGGAACUCCCCGCGCCCACUACGAAGAGGAGCUGUCGGAGCCUCCCCGUCCCUGCUGUUACCCGGAGGAGCCGCCCGAGCACGCCUGGCCGGACUUCCCUGAGGAGCUGCCGGACCUGCCACCAAGCCCUGGCCUUGAGGAGCCUAUGCUGAUUGACUGGCCUGGACCCGGUGCCCUGGACGAGCUGCGCUUGCAGAGGAAUUGUCCAGGAGCCCCAGCCCAAGGAGA